AGUAAGUGCAGUAGGUAGGCCAAGAUAACUACUAAGUAUGUCCUAACAACUUAGUAGCUGCUUGAAAAAAAUAAUGCACAUAAAUUAAACAAAAAGAAAACAAUAUUUUCACUCAUUCUUAACUUCCUGUAAGGAUGUACUAACGGGAGGUGUGUGCCUGUUGGGCUGUCCACAGCUACUCAAACCUUGAGAUUAGAUUGGACGCUAUCACCUUCAUUUCCUGUUACACAGUAAGUUUUGCAUGGCACUUGCUUUUAAUCAUGACAACUGCCGUACACUCAGCUUCACAAAAUCAUGUCAUUGUGGAAAGGAAGGUCCCUCCAUCUAACAUUCAAACUUAACUAUCCUGAGCUGGCAGUUUGCAAGGUGUCCAACAGAUGUCACUGUGUUUCCUUCGCAGAUUCUCUAAAACAGUCUGCUGUGUCCCAGGGCAUAGUAGAUAUUCAAUAAAUGGUGGCUGUGAGUUUUAUGGGUGAGCAGCUGUUUGCAAGGCUAAAAUUCGGGCGAGGCACAGGCUUCCCCUUGGUCUUAGCAGCCAGCACAAGAUGAGUGUCCCUUCAGCCAGCCUCAGAGCUCUUUGGCAAUUCAACUGACCCUUGUCCUUCAGUCCAUACAACGCCCCAGGGCCCACCUGCAUUCAAACUCGGACUGUUCUCCUUCCCACCCCUAUUAUCUUUUCAACUUUAUGGACAGUACAUGCAAUUUUCUCAUUCAUUUUCUCAUUUAACAUCUAACAGCUUCAUGAUAUCCCCAUUUUACAGCUAAGGAAACCAAGGCUUUAAGAGGAUAGGGAACCUAAUCGGCUAAGGCAGAGUUAGGAUUUGAACCCAGAUCCCCAUGAUGCCAGAAUCUAAGCCUUGACUAAAUAUGUGUUACUAUUACUUUUGUUGUUGUUGUUGUUGUUCUGGGUAACUCCAACCCUCUGCUCAUUGGCCUUGUCACCUCAGUGCUGAUUUUGCAGAUGAAGAGACUAAGGUUCCAAGGUGCUAGAGCACAGUGGUUAGGAACACAGACUCUAGAGCCAGAGUGCCUGGGUUUGAGCCUUGUUCUGCCAUUUACUAGCCGUAUGACCUUGGGCAACUUGCUUAACUUCUCUUUGCCUCAGUCCCUCUUCUCUUGGGUUGUUAGGAGAAUGAAUGAGGUGAUAUCCACAGUGUCCAACACCCUGCAAGCGGCCAGUUGUGGUGGAUCACACCUGCAAUCCCAGCACUUUGGGAGGCCAAGGCAGGUGGAUCAUUUGAGGUCAGGAAUUCGAGACCAGCCUGUCCAACAUGGCGAAAACUCAUUUCUACUAAAAAUACAAAAAUUAGCCGGGCAUGGUGGCAAACAACUGUAAUCCAAGCUACUAGGGAGGCUGAGGCAGAAGAAUUGCUUGAACCCGGGAGACAGAGGUUGCAGUGAGCCAAGGUUGCGCCACUGCACUCCAGCCUGGGCAACAGAGUGAGACCCUGCCUCAAAAACUAAAAAUAAAAAAUGAACAGUGUCCAAUACCUUGAAAGCAUUCCGCAUGACUGAACAAUCACUGUUACGUGAUUACCAGCAUGACGACCCCACUCCUCUUGGCCAAACUGAGUUCUCUUCUUUGUAAAAACUUCUGCAUAUGAAGUCACCCAUUCCAUUUGACCCUUUAGCCCUCAUCCUGGCAUUCAAGGGCAUGGACGACUCAACCCCACUCUCUAGCCAGCCUGACCUCUCCAUUCCCUUCUCUGUCGUAGAGGCCACUCCCACCACCUGCCCUUACUCCCUGCCCGCUUUUGUCAGCCUGUACUGUGUUGAAGCUCCCAGGAGAGACAACUGCAGUCAUCGCUUUCCACUGUGUUCAGUGAUGUCAGUUCGGCCCAGCUGGGGGUAUUCACAUCAUGGAAACAGACCAUCAGAUUUGGCGUGUGUGUGUUUUAUUUUGCUUUUUCAGAGAGCCAGUUGUUAAACACUAGCCAACACCCCAUUGAUGCUGUUCCUUCUACCUGAAACACCUCAGAUUGCCGGUGAGCUCUAGAGACAAAAGGACCUGGGUCUGCAUUUCCCAAAGGCAAGAAUCUGGUAUCACCUGCAUAUUAUUUUCCCAUAUUUGAGCACCACUGCUUGUUGCAUUAUUUACUUAGCAGUUUUGCUCCUGUCAACUCACUUUUUUAAAACUAAACUUAUUUUAAAAAGAAAAGUUUUGGCCAGGCGCGGUGACUCACGCCUGUAAUCCCAGCACUUUGGGAGGCCGAGCUGGGCAGAUCACCUGAGGUCGGGAGUUCGAGACCAGCCUGACCAACAUGGAGAAACUCCGUCUCUACUAAAAAUACAAAAUUAGCUGGGCGUGGUGGCGCAUGCCUGUAAUCCUAGCUACUCGGGAGGCUGUGGCAGGAGAAUUGCUUGAACCCAGGAGGCGGAGGUUGCGGUGAGUCGAGAUGGCACCAUUGUACUCCAGCCUGGGGAACAAAUGUGAAACUCUGUCUC
rnacentral:sRNA from 1 species